rnacentral:rRNA from 1 species
GAGCCCGCACAAGCAGUGGAGUAUGUGGUUUAAUUCGACGCAACGCGAAGAACCUUACCAGGAUUUGACAUCCCGAGAACCCGACGUAAUGGUUGGGGUGCCCUUCGGGGAAUUCGGAGACAGGUGGUGCAUGGUUGUCGUCAGCUCGUGUCGUGAGAUGUUGGGUUAAGUCCCGCAACGAGCGCAACCCUUACGGUUAGUUGCUACGCAAGAGCACUCUAGCCGGACUGCCGUUGACAAAACGGAGGAAGGUGGGGAUGACGUCAAAUCAUCAUGCCCCUUAAGUUCUGGGCCACACACGUACUACAAUGGCGAAAACAACGGGAAGCGAAGCCGCGAGGCGGAGCAAAUCCCAUAAAAGUCGUCCCAGUUCGGAUAGCAGGCUGCAACCCGCCUGCUUGAAGUUGGAAUUGCUAGUAAUCGCGGAUCAGCAUGCCGCGGUGAAUACGUUCCCGGGCUUU